rnacentral:rRNA from 1 species
GAUGAACGCUGGCGGCGUGCCUAAUACAUGCAAGUCGAGCGAACAGAUGAGGAGCUUGCUCCUCUGAAGUUAGCGGCGGACGGGUGAGUAACACGUGGAUAACCUACCUAUAAGACUGGGAUAACUUCGGGAAACCGGAGCUAAUACCGGAUAAUAUAUUGAACCGCAUGGUUCAAUAGUGAAAGACGGUUUUGCUGUCACUUAUAGAUGGAUCCGCGCCGCAUUAGCUAGUUGGUAAGGUAACGGCUUACCAAGGCAACGAUGCGUAGCCGACCUGAGAGGGUGAUCAGCCACACUGGAACUGAGACACGGUCCAGACUCCUACGGGAGGCAGCAGUAGGGAAUCUUCCGCAAUGGGCGAAAGCCUGACGGAGCAACGCCGCGUGAGUGAUGAAGGUCUUCGGAUCGUAAAACUCUGUUAUUAGGGAAGAACAAAUGUGUAAGUAACUAUGCACGUCUUGACGGUACCUAAUCAGAAAGCCACGGCUAACUACGUG